rnacentral:lncRNA from 1 species
GCCCAUAGCUCAUCUAGGAUGUUGUUUGACUGAAGGAUUGAAUUACACAGUAAUUUACCACUGAAGGAUAUUUUGAUAAUUUUUUAUCAAAAUUUUAAAUCUUUGGGAUAGUCAUGAUAUGUUGCUAGACAUCAAUCAUGAUUUAUAGACUCAUCAAAAUUAAAAAAAAUUAAUUUAAAAAUUAAUUCGAAAGAGUCCUAGUUGAUUGGGACUGUUCAGGUGACCUAAUCUG